rnacentral:rRNA from 1 species
GAUUGAGAACAACGUACAAACCUUAUCGAUAAACAAUUGGAGGGCAAGUCUGGUGCCAGCAGCCGCGGUAAUUCCAGCUCCAAUAGCGUAUAUUAACGUUGUUGCAGUUAAAAAGCUCGUAGUUGAAAUGAAGGGUAGUUGUGUAAUGAAUACAUUCGUGUAUUUUGUUAUUCAACUACCCUCCUUCUAAAUUCGAUAUAUGAGUAUUAAUUUACUUGUAUAUGGUUUUAGACCUUUACUGUGAGAAAAUUAGAGUGUUCAAAGCAGGCAUUUGCUUGAAUAUAUUAGCAUGGAAUAAUCAUGUAUGAUUUUCAUGAUGUAUUUGAUUGGUUUGGUUCAUGAGAAUAAGAUUAAAAGGGACAGUUGGGGGUAUUCAUAUUCAAUAGUCAGAGGUGAAAUUCUCGGAUUUAUGGAAGAUGAACAAGUGCGAAAGCA